rnacentral:rRNA from 1 species
GAUGAACGCUGGCGGCGUGCCUAAUACAUGCAAGUCGAGCGAACAGACGAGGAGCUUGCUCCUCUGACGUUAGCGGCGGACGGGUGAGUAACACGUGGAUAACCUACCUAUAAGACUGGGAUAACUUCGGGAAACCGGAGCUAAUACCGGAUAAUAUAUUGAACCGCAUGGUUCAAUAGUGAAAGACGGUUUUGCUGUCACUUAAAGAUGGAUCCGCGCCGCAUUAGCUAGAUGGUAAGGUAACGGCUUACCAAGGCAACGAUGCGUAGCCGACCUGAGAGGGUGAUCGGCCACACUGGAACUGAGACACGGUCCAGACUCCUACGGGAGGCAGCAGUAGGGAGUCUUCCGCAAUGGGCGAAAGCCUGACGGAGCAACGCCGCGUGAGUGAUGAAGGUCUUCGGAUCGUAAAACUCUGUUAUUAGGGAAGAACAAAUGUGUAAGUAACUAUGCACGUCUUGACGGUACCUAAUCAGAAAGCCACGGCUAACUACGUG